rnacentral:rRNA from 1 species
CCGCAUGGAGUGUUGGUGGAAAGCGUUAUGUAGUGGUUAUAGAUGGGCUCACGGCCUAUCAGCUUGUUGGUGAGGUAACGGCUCACCAAGGCGACGACGGGUAGCCGGCCUGAGAGGGUGACCGGCCACACUGGGACUGAGACACGGCCCAGACUCCUACGGGAGGCAGCAGUGGGGAAUAUUGCACAAUGGGCGCAAGCCUGAUGCAGCGACGCCGCGUGAGGGAUGACGGCCUUCGGGUUGUAAACCUCUGUUAGCAGGGAAGAAGAGAAAUUGACGGUACCUGCAGAGAAAGCGCCGGCUAACUACGUGCCAGCAGCCGCGGUAAUACGUAGGGCGCGAGCGUUGUCCGGAAUUAUUGGGCGUAAAGAGCUUGUAGGCGGUUUGUCGCGUCUGCUGUGAAAGGCCGGGGCUUAACCCCGUGUAUUGCAGUGGGUACGGGCAGACUAGAGUGCAGUAGGGGAGACUGGAACUCCUGGUGUAGCGGUGGAAUGCGCAGAUAUCAGGAAGAACACCGAUGGCGAAGGCAGGUCUCUGGGCUGUAACUGACGCUGAGAAGCGAAAGCAUGGGGAGCGAACGGGAUUAGAUACCCUGGUAGUCCAUGCCGUAAACGUGCCCAAAAGGGGUGGGGGACCAUUCCCCCGUGUUCCGCUCCGUUAGCUAACGCAUUAAGUGCCCCUCCUGGGGAAGUACGGCCGCAAGGCUAAAACUCAAAGAAAUUGACGGGGGCCCGCACAAGCGGCGGAGCAUGCGGAUUAAUUCGAUGCAACGCGAAGAACCUUACCAAGGCUUGACAUAUACUGGACCGCAUCAGAGAUGGUGUUUCCCUUCGGGGCUGGUAUACAGGUGGUGCAUGGUUGUCGUCAGCUCGUGUCGUGAGAUGUUGGGUUAAGUCCCGCAACGAGCGCAACCCUCGUUCUAUGUUGCCAGCACGUUAUGGUGGGGACUCAUAGGAGACUGCCGGGGUCAACUCGGAGGAAGGUGGGGAUGACGUCAAAUCAUCAUGCCCCUUAUGUCUUGGGCUUCACGCAUGCUACAAUGGCCGGUACAGAGGGUUGCGAUACUGUGAGGUGGAGCUAAUCCCUAAAAGCCGGUCUCAGUUCGGAUUGGGGUCUGCAACUCGACCCCAUGAAGUCGGAGUCGCUAGUAAUCGCAGAUCAGCAACGCUGCGGUGAAUACGUUCCCGGGCCUUGCACUCACCGCCCGUCAAG